rnacentral:lncRNA from 1 species
UUAUAUACGGAUUAUAAAAAAUAAUAAGAAAUAAAAUUAAAAAAUUUAACCCUUAGGCAAAGAAGUGGAAAGUUCUCGACUCAUUCCCACAACCUUCCCUCUUCUCAGCUUUUCGUCUCAGCUUUUCCUCUCAUCUCUUUCCCCAUCACAGAUCACAGUCAACGAGCCAUUCUUCACUACCUCUUCUUCUCGUCGUUCUUCUGGAGCAUUUUCCCUCCUAUCUGGAACCAUCAUCUUCGUUCGUCGAUCCAUCAGCGUCUCGUCGAACCAUUUAUAGAGUUCUCAUCCCGCGACCAUGGAACUCUUGUUGNCGUNUCACGAAGNUCUCAUUCNGCCGCGUCUUCUCACUUUCAACGAAACCCCUUUUGGUGGUCGAACACAAAUUAGGGUUCUCACAUCCCUAGGGUUUACCUCCCCUAUUCCAAAUCACCCUCUUCCACCCCU